rnacentral:rRNA from 1 species
UGAUGCAGCGACGCCGCGUGAGGGAUGACGGCCUUCGGGUUGUAAACCUCUUUCAGCAGGGACGAAGCGAAAGUGACGGUACCUGCAGAAGAAGCACCGGCCAACUACGUGCCAGCAGCCGCGGUAAUACGUAGGGUGCGAGCGUUGUCCGGAAUUACUGGGCGUAAAGAGCUCGUAGGCGGUUUGUCGCGUCGUCUGUGAAAUCCCGCAGCUCAACUGCGGGCUUGCAGGCGAUACGGGCAGACUCGAGUACUGCAGGGGAGACUGGAAUUCCUGGUGUAGCGGUGAAAUGCGCAGAUAUCAGGAGGAACACCGGUGGCGAAGGCGGGUCUCUGGGCAGUAACUGACGCUGAGGAGCGAAAGCGUGGGUAGCGAACAGGAUUAGAUACCCUGGUAGUCCACGCCGUAAACGGUGGGCGCUAGGUGUGGGUUUCCUUCCACGGGAUCCGUGCCGUAGCCAACGCAUUAAGCGCCCCGCCUGGGGAGUACGGCCGCAAGGCUAAAACUCAAAGGAAUUGACGGGGGCCCGCACAAGCGGCGGAGCAUGUGGAUUAAUUCGAUGCAACGCGA